GGUUUAACAUCCCCAUGGUGUUUGGUCCAACUAAUGGCGGUUGUCACAACAUUCGGUGCACAGCAGACCUCAAGGGACAAUGCCCGAAUGAGUUAAGGGCUCCUGGUGGGUGCAAUAACCCAUGCACAGUGUUCAAAACCAAUGAGUAUUGUUGCACUCAAGGGUACGGAACCUGUGGUCCGACCUAUUUCUCAAGGUUUUUCAAGGACCGGUGCCAUGAUUCAUACAGUUAUCCUCAGGAUGAUCCUUCAAGCACCUUUACUUGCCCCGCUGGUUCCAAUUACAGGGUUGUGUUUUGCCCUAGAGGCUCACCCCGCAUAGAGAUGGUCGGAAGCAAGAACCAAGAAAAGUAAAGGGAUGAUCUCUUGGAGUAGUUGAUUUGCAUUUGGGAAUAAAAAAUAAAGAUCAUUUGGUCUUUCGAAAUGAUACUGAACCUAUGGAUGUAUUUGUUUUAUUUUGCAUAUGUUUUGUUUAAUGGAAGAGCAAAAACAAAUAAAUACUAUUUUUUUUGGUGAUUUAUAAUAAUAAGACAAAUUCUGAAUAAUAAACUAUUAUUCAGAUUCCAAUUUAGAUCACAGUUUGGAUGAUGAAUGGCCCAUCACAUGGUUCAAACUGCUUGUAAGUAGAAUGAGACAUUCUGUGGUAGAAACCAACUAAACUCAAGAACAUUACCUCAAAAACGAAUUUAAGGUAAUGUCAUUUUUUAAUGCUUUUAGACUUCCCUCGUCAACUUGAAUUCCUGCUGAACUUAUUAUAAAACCCCAAAAAGAAAAUCUUAUCCAUGCAAUUACCAAAAAGUUGUUCAUGUCCUUCUUUGGUGCGUCGAUGAUCUGGCAAAACCAGGUAAACCUACCUGAUGAAAACCAAUACCAUAACAUCAUUGACCACCUUCAAGACCACCACCGUCCCCCCAGUUAUCUCAUCACUCUCGGUUCGCUCCCUCGAUCGAAACAACGCCUCCAACUACACUCUAUCACAACUCUCUCGCUUUUCAAGCCACACACAUCAUCUUCACCAUCCUUGCCAAAAACCACCAUCUCCAACCUGAAACGAAUUGGGUGGAGCCAGCACUCAAAAACACCAUGAGCGAACGCACACGAAUCGUCUUUUUUUCAGUUCCCCUUGCGGAAGUCCGGGCAAGCGGAUUGAGAGUAACGGAACUUCCUCGAAUCCCUCCAAUGAGCCUUCUCGCUCGGGUGGGCGUACGGCCCCUCGGUCAGUCAUGUGACCUUCCACGCGCACACCUCUUCACCUUGAACUCAUACAUACGAAAAUGGUCGCAUGAGAAUGCAUCGACGAUGGGUACGUCAGAGUCGUCACAAAGGGUGUCGGGCUCGAGAUCGUUCAACGAGAGGUAGCGGAGAAGGGCCAUAAGGUAGUCAACGGGACGGGCUGCAAGGUGCAUUGCAGUUAAAGUCGAGGGUUGAAAAGUUAUCCGCCCGAUCGUUUAACAAUUCCUAGUCGGGGAUUUUGACGGUGGGGAAGGGUCGUGUAGUGAGUUUUUUUAUCAUCAUAUUUUGGAUAUUGUCAGUUCUGCUAUUCUAACUCGGAUGAUGAAGAUGAAUGUGCUUGGUUUCGGGUUCUAGAUGGUAAAGAUGAUGCGUGGGGCUUGAGAACAGAGAGAGUUGUGACAGAGUGUAGUUGAAGGAUUGGUUUCAAUCGAAAGAGCGAGUCCGGAGUGAUGAGAUUACUAGGGGGACGGUGGUGAUCCUGAGGGUGAUUAAUGGUGUCAUGGUAUUGGUUUUUAGUAGGUAGGUUGACUUGGUUUUGCCAGAUCAUCGGCACACCAAUUAAGGAGAAGAAAGAAAAAAAUAAUAAAGAAUGAAAGAAAAGGAAAAACAGACAGAAAAGAUAAUAAUAAAAGAAAUAUAAUAAUAUAGUGGGAUCUACUAACGAAAAUUAAUCUCAUGUCACUGUGCCGUUUGAUACUUAAUCGCACGGUGGCUAUGAAAACAAUUUCUUAAAAUUUAGGGUGAGUUUAGAUAAACGAUGCGUUUACUUGCAGUUAGUGUAAAAAUAGCGGUGGCGGUAAGAUUAGAUACUAUAGCGAUACUGUAGUGUGAAACAAAAAAUAAACUAAACACACCGCAUCGCAUCCAAUUGUUCAUCCAAAUUCACCCUUAAUGAUGAGUUGGAUGAUUAAAGAAGCAUUAAAAAUUUAGUUACUAAUUAGAUAAUUUAUUCAAAUAAUAAUAUGUGAAUAUUUUAAUAUAUUGUAUUAAAACAGUUAUAUUUUUAAAGGGAAAUAUAAAUUCAAAUUUUAUGAACUACGAUAUGAUAAAUACGUAAAAUCGGUUAUGUUAAAAAAAUAAUAGUAUUCUGCAACGUACGUAGACUGAGUAGCUAAGUGGAAAGAAAGUCAAAUGGUAGAUAUUAAAAUAAGGAAUAUCUUAUGGUUCUCCCAAAAUCCAAAUAAGCUUGGCCUUAUCUUCAUUAUGAUUUGAAAGUGUUCGAUUAGCCGCCUCUACCUUUAUUAAAACAAUAUUAUGGCACUUGCCCAUGAUAUCUAUGGUACCAAAAAGCCGCCUUACUUGUAUAUAAACCCUCAUCUCCUAUGAACAAAUCCCAAAGUAAGAGCUAACCAUGAGCUACUUAACCAUUUCCCAAAUCUCCUCCCUCCUCUUCUUUAGCGUCCUUUUCAUUUCCGCUCAUGCAGCGCGCUUUGAAAUCCGCAAUGAGUGCUCCUACACCGUCUGGGCAGCAGCCUCUCCUGGUGGUGGCCGUCGCCUAGACCCUCGGCAAAGUUGGACCAUCGAUGUGCCUGCUGGCACUGCUAUGGCUCGUAUUUGGGGUCGAACCAAUUGCAAUUUCGAUGCCAGUGGUAGGGGUCAUUGCCAAACCGGUGAUUGUGGUGGACUCCUUCAAUGCAAAGGUUGGGGUGUACCUCCAAACACCCUGGCUGAAUAUGCACUUAAUCAAUUUGGAAACAUGGAUUUCUACGACAUUUCCUUAGUUGAUGGGUUUAACAUCCCCAUGGUGUUUGGUCCAACUAAUGGCGGUUGUCACAACAUUCGGUGCACUGCAGACAUCAACGGACAAUGCCCGAAUGAGUUAAGAGCUCCUGGUGGGUGCAAUAACCCAUGCACGGUGUUUAAGACCAAUGAAUAUUGUUGCACUCAAGGGUACGGGACCUGUGGUCCGACCCGUUAUUCAAGGUUUUUCAAGGACCGGUGCCGUGAUUCAUACAGUUAUCCUCAAGAUGAUCCUUCGAGCACCUUUACUUGCCCUGCUGGUUCCAAUUACAGGGUCGUGUUUUGCCCCAGAGGCUCACCUCAUAUAGAGAUGGUCGGAAGUAAGAGCCAAGAAAAAUAAAGGGAUCAUCUCUUGGUCUAGUUAAUCUGCGC
rnacentral:lncRNA from 1 species